GUUCCAGCCCAAUCUGGCUGUGACAUCUGUCACCCCAUUGAUGGCUAGAGUUGAUCGGCUGAUCUUGCUGGCUAGGCGGGUGUCCCCUUCCUCUCUCACUGCUUCAUGUGCGUCCUUCCCGAAGCUGCACGCUCCUUUGAAGAGGACGCCUUCCCCAAAUAAAGACAGACUGGUCUUCGGUCGAGGGUAGCUGUGCUUCCCUGCUAGAACCUCCAAAGAAGCUCACCUUAACCUUAACACUGUAGCACUGUUCAUCGGUUUGCUGGAGCGGGCACCAGUAACCACUAUUGUGAGACUCGCUGUUACUCACCAUUG
rnacentral:snRNA from 1 species